rnacentral:rRNA from 1 species
GAUGAACGCUGGCGGCGUGCUUAACACAUGCAAGUCGAACGGAAAGGCCCAAGCUUGCUUGGGUACUCGAGUGGCGAACGGGUGAGUAACACGUGGGUGAUCUGCCCUGCACUUCGGGAUAAGCCUGGGAAACUGGGCCUAAUACCGGAUAGGACGAUGGUUUGGAUGCCAUUGUGGAAAGUUUUUUCGGUGUGGGAUGAGCUCGCGGCCUAUCAGCUUGUUGGUGGGGUAAUGGCCUACCAAGGCGUCGACGGGUAGCCGGCCUGAGAGGGUGUACGGCCACAUUUGGACUGAGAUACGGCCCAGACUCCUACGGGGGGCAGCAGUGGGGAAUAUUUCACAAUGGGCGCAAGCCUGACGCAGCGACGCCGCGUGGGGGAUGACGGCCUUCGGGUUGUAAACUCCUUUCGCUAGGGACGAAGCGUUUUUGUGACGGUACCUGGAGAAGAAGCACCGGCUAACUACGUG